GCCUGGAUAGCUCAGCUGGUUAGAGCGUGGUGCUGGUAAUGCCAAGGUUGCGGGUUCGAUCCCCGUAUGGGACA